UACGUAGGGGGCAAGCGUUGUUCGGAAUUACUGGGCGUAAAGGGCGCGUAGGCGGCAGGCCAAGUCGGGAGUGAAAGCCCGGGGCUCAACCCCGGAAUGUCUUUCGAAACUGGCCAGCUCGAGUGCGGAAGAGGCAACUGGAAUUCCCAGUGUAGCGGUGAAAUGCGUAGAUAUUGGGAAGAACACCUGAGGCGAAGCGGGUGCUGGGCCGACACUGACGCUGAGGCGCCGAAAGCCAGGGAGCAAGCAGGG
rnacentral:rRNA from 1 species